rnacentral:lncRNA from 1 species
CUCAGAGUGAGAAGGUAUUUUGCAGAAGAGACGUGGAAAGGAGAUCAACUGGGGAUCUGAGAUCUGUCUAGCUUCAGCAAAGAAACUGGAGUUAAGAUGGAAGAAGAUAUCAGAGUGGAUUAAAAGCCAGAAUCCCACAAUAUAUUGUUUACAAAAGUCACAUAUAAAGCAGGGAGACAUACAGAGAUGAAAGAUUGCUAAUCUCUGAAUAAAGAACAUCU